rnacentral:lncRNA from 1 species
UUUUGGACCCUGAGACUGGUAAGUCUAUUUUUGGCUUCUAGUGAGCUACAACACAUGUUUUCAUGGUUGAACAACCAUUUUCAUGUCUCCGUUCCGCCACCCAUAUUUUGGUCCUCGAAGCAUGAUAAAGCGGUGUUUUGCCUCUCGCGAGCUACUUCACACGUUUCUAUGGCCAAACAAUAAUUUUCAUAUUGCCGGUCCACCACCCACAUUUUUGUCCCUGGGGGUCGAUAAGGCUAUUUUUGGCCUUCUGUGAGCUAUAUCACACAUUUUCAUGGACAAACAACCAUGAACAUUGUUGGGGGAGGGCCUUCGUCGCCGAAGGGCUCCGAGAUAUCAACUUUGUCAAGAAAAGCAAGUUUCAGGUAAAAACGUUCAUCUUCGUCAUCGAACCAAAGUUGAUAAAUGGAUGAAGUCAAGAAGAGCUGAAGCCGAAGGAGGAAGCUUCGGGUGAUACGUGGCGACCUACGAAGCAGAGAAGAAGGCAGAGACUGUGGAAGGCUUGAUCAACAAGAUAUAUGGAUGGAAAAGUACAAUACUACCCUCAUAAUAUUUGUAGUUCAUAUGUAUAAGGUUUGAUGACAUGUUUGUAAUUUCAGACGAAGUUGUACAUCGUGGCUAUAAAUAGAAGAACGGUGCCAUGCAUAAGCAUGCAUUUUGAUCAGAGCGAUCCGAGUUGCUCCGACUACAAAGUUGUAUACUUCCUUUGCUUUCACUUGUUUGAGUGUACAACCAAAGGUAUACUUGUAAUCAUUUGAUAUAUUGUAAAGAACGAAAUAAUGUGCUUACACAUUCAGAUGAGUAAUUCGUUCUACCUAUCAGAAGUUACAUGCUUCUUUUAUUAAUGUGUUUCUACACUACCUAUCAUCUCUCUUUAAUUAACCUUCAAAG